ACAAGUCGAGUCAUACAAAAGUUUCCAUUUUUAAACAAGCUAAAGACAGUGGUUAUGAACUGCUGGAGUUUAUUUGCCUUUUUUCCUACUCAAUAUUCAAAAUACAUUGCAUCCCAGCCACAUACAUCUGAACAGAUUAAAUUUGGCAGCUCUGGUAUACAGAUAAGAAAUCACAGCCUAAAACUGAUAUUAGGCCAACAAUAAACCAACAUACAUCUUUGUUCAAUAUGCCUCAAACAUGACAUCAAAUCAUGAAAUUCAUUUAAAGAUUUAAAGUAUCAUGGUUUCUAAGUCAAACAAUAUUCUUCAAACAUGCCUCACUUUCAUUUGUCAGAAACACAUCCUUUAACAUUUGCUUCUCUUAAA